AACGUACGGUGGUGGUGCCUCAAAACUCAACGUACGGUGGUGGUGAUGGGCGAUAUUUAAGGUCUUAUGACAAGAGUUGGAAUUUUAUACAGAUAAAAAGUAUUAGUGCCACGAUAACAAUUGGAAGUGUCUGUCUAAGCUGAAGAAAACAAUAAUCGACAAUGAAAGUCUUUCUUUCUUUCCUCGUUAUUUCUUUAUUUGCAGGUGUUCAUUUGGCGUCCAUUCAACAUGGGUGCCCGGGAGGUCUUGGUCUUGUGAAUUGUUUCGUUGACCCAUGUAUGAUACCCAUGCAACAUGGCUGUGCCGGAUAUCCAAACGCAAAAUGCGUUUCGAACUAUUGUGGUGGCUGCAAUGCUGAAUGGUAUGACACUGAUGGAAGUCUCGUAUUCUGUCACUGAAAUAUCGUAUGGUUACAUCCUAAAAUCCAGACCUAAUUUUGAUAUAAUAAUAAAUGCUUAAACAGUG